AACUAUUACAUUGGUGCAAAAGUAAUUGCGGCUUUUGCAACUGAAGGUAAUGGCAAAAACUGCAAUUACUUUUGCCCCAACCUAAUAGAAGUCA
ensembl:miRNA